CCCCUAGAGGACACACACAUCCCUACACCAAGGUACAGUCACUCAGGAUUUCACUGCACGCCCCCACCUCCCGCCAACGUACACACCUUGGUGUCUGUCCAUGGGACCACAGGUGGGUGGUGGGGCGCCACCUAGCGGUGGUCUUUAGAGACGCUUUGAGAAGCUCUCGUUUGACCAGAUGUGCUUGGUGGGAGAGAAAUUGUCACCCUGGCAGAGUGGCAGAGAUGACUCUCAAGGGCCAGGUGAAGGGCACCUGAACUGAGCGGGGAGUCCCUUCAACACCUUGACCAGCGCAGCAAAAUGGUGACGCUCCUGUAACUUUCUGGAGGCCACUAGCAUGGAUUUUUACCCUUAAUCUUUGCAACUCAUCUGCGACCCAAGAAGGGAAGGUCUUAUGAGCCUGUUUUACACACGGACAAGACAAGACUCCGAGAAAUACUGCGGCUUGCCCACGUGCCUUACAGGUGAGGAAACUGAGGCUCAGAGAAACGGAUGAACUCACCCCAAGGUGACACAGCUUCUAGGUGGUGGAAGAGGGAUUUGAACCCUGGCAGUGUGACUCCAGGGUUGAAACUCUUAACUGCUGUCCCUUCUACUGGCUGAGGAAGCCGCUCUUCCCGGACACCAGCAAAACGGAUGCUGCCUUCCAGCUCAGCUUACUCCACUUACCUGUAAGCUGAACAGAGAGACUGUGCCUCCAUCAACCAGUGACCCCACAUCACUCUCCAGUUCUUGCUCUGCUGUGUGACCUUAGAUGAAUUUCUUGUUUCUGAGCCUUGGCUUCCAUAUCUGUGAAAUACAGAGUUUAAACUA